GCCCAGGUGGUGGAAUUGGUAUACACGACAGACUUAAAAUCUGUUGGGGGCAACCUCUUGUGGGUUCGAGUCCCACCCUGGGUACCA
rnacentral:tRNA from 1 species